GGCGCAUUAGCUAGUUGGUGGGGUAAAGGCUUACCAAGGCAAUGAUGCGUAGCCGAACUGAGAGGUUGAUCGGCCACAUUGGGACUGAGACACGGCCCAAACUCCUACGGGAGGCAGCAGUAGGGAAUCUUCCACAAUGGGCGAAAGCCUGAUGGAGCAACGCCGCGUGGGUGAAGAAGGUCUUCGGAUCGUAAAACCCUGUUGUUAGAGAAGAAAGUGCGUGAGAGUAACUGUUCACGUUUCGACGGUAUCUAACCAGAAAGCCACGGCUAACUACGUGCCAGCAGCCGCGGUAAUACGUAGGUGGCAAGCGUUAUCCGGAUUUAUUGGGCGUAAAGGGAACGCAGGCGGUCUUUUAAGUCUGAUGUGAAAGCCUUCGGCUUAACCGGAGUAGUGCAUUGGAAACUGGGAGACUUGAGUGCAGAAGAGGAGAGUGGAACUCCAUGUGUAGCGGUGAAAUGCGUAGAUAUAUGGAAGAACACCAGUGGCGAAAGCGGCUCUCUGGUCUGUAACUGACGCUGAGGUUCGAAAGCGUGGGUAGCAAACAGGAUUAGAUACCCUGGUAGUCCACGCCGUAAACGAUGAAUGCUAAGUGUUGGAGGGUUUCCGCCCUUCA
rnacentral:rRNA from 1 species